rnacentral:lncRNA from 1 species
AAGGAUGGUCAAUUACAAUCCAUGACCUAUCAGGAUCACCUGUCGCUUGUGCAUCAAUGGUGACACCAUUUGUCCCUUCCAGUGGAACUAACCGUGUCUGCCGUUCAAAUCCAGGCGCCUGGCUCAUUCUUACGCCUGGCCAGGCAACCUGGAAGCCAUGGGGCCGUCUUGAGGCAUGGCUCGAAAAGGGGNCUUCCAGUGGAACUAACCGUGUCUGCCGUUCAAAUCCAGGCGCCUGGCUCAUUCUUACGCCUGGCCAGGCAACCUGGAAGCCAUGGGGCCGUCUUGAGGCAUGGCUCGAAAAGGGUGACCAUCUCGGUUACAAGUUUGAGCACUUUCCUGAUGGCGGUAUUGAUGCCAUCACUCUCACCAAUUCCAAGCUGAGUACAAAAAACGGUGGGAAAUUCAUAAUUG